GGGGAGAAGAUUCUGGAACCCACAGUGAGGGUUUUUGGCAGAUCAGUGAAGAUAGCUGCUGGCUGAGGAAGCAUAGAGGAAGAGGUAAAAAGUCUGAAGCAGGGAGCAGCUGACACGUAAUCACCACAGAAAGCGGGUAGCUGUUGGCAGAAAAGGCGUUUAGGAAGCGCGGCCGCGGGCCCUGCCAAGGGAGGCUGUCGUGAUUCACGCUUGGGAAGUGCUGGAGACCAGAACACAGGUUGGAGGAGGUCCAGGCAUGGCACAGUGCAGUAAGUAGCCUGGCAACUGUGGUGGGCUGACCCUCUGGUCUGGGGCUUGACUCAGGGAAUGGAGUCCCAGGGUGGAAAAAAAAAGAUGAAUUAGGAAUCUGCCACCAGACUGAGCGUCUUCAGAGCGUUCUUCUGGGAUGGUUAUUUCAAAUUGGUUUGUUGUUGUUGUUUUAUUGGUUGGUUGGUUGGUUUUGUGUGUGGUUUUUUGGUUCUUGAGGUUUUUGUUUUUUUGUUUUUUUUGUCUUUUGUCUCUUUCAUUUACUACUGUAUCAUUACUAUUAUGCCCUGUCCCUAAGAGUCCUGGCGACACUGGCUCAAGUUCUUACUCAAUUCUUCCUACCCACUUGAUCCCACCCAUAUCUUGUCACUGCCUGGUUUUCUGUCACAGCCAGGUUUCCCGUUUUCAACUAUGCCAUGAAGCACGGAUCAAGACAUCAUGAGUUCUUUGUCCUCUUGGGAAAUGGAGUCUGUUCCUGUUGCUGGCUUUAUUUGAAAAGGGACGAGCUGGUCUUGAUUGACACCUGAAUGUUGUUCAGGCUUGGGGAGGCCAGAGGUCAAGGCGCCCCCUGGCGGUGGAAACUGCAAGGCUCAGGCCCUAACCUAGGGUUGUAGAAGCUGCGGGUAAGCUGUGUACUUGUAAGAUGCUAUCCUCCUUCAAAGCAAGGUUGUUAACCAGAGGUGAUUCUUAGUGAUGCUGGCUACACCCUGUGCCAGCAUUCUGUGGCACCAUUGGGUGCCAGGAGUCUACCCAAUCCUGUGCUGGCCAAGGCACUGCCCUCCGGGCACUGAUCAUCUGAGUCACACAGGAUUUCUAUCUUAUCCUAAACAACCCCCCAGGCCAGCCAUGCUUCACUGCCUCUCACCCUUCAGCAGAGAUGUCUUCCCCACUUUCCUGAGAUACAGUGUGAUUCAGAUGGGCCAAAUGUUACAAGGCUGGCCUUCAGACUCUGGCCCUGGUCCUGUGUAUGAUUCCAUGUCUGAUCUGAACUGCUGCAAUAGAGUUUUCAGAGAUACGGAGGAGAGAUAGGAUGAACUGAGGCUACCAUCGUUCCAUCCUCAAGGCAAGCCUGUUCCCAGGAAGCCAGCCAAGUGCUCUAAGACCAGUUGCAACGAACUUUGCAAGCUUGAAGGAAACCUGUGUCUGCUGAAGCCUGAUGCUAGGACUUGCAAAGACCACCUUAAGGAUGUGGUCCAAAGCCUGGUGUAGGACUUGUAAAGACCACCCUGAGGAUCUCGUCCAGAAGCAGAAAUGCAAAUGGAACUGAGAAGCGAGAUGAUAGUCCAACGGAGCAGUGCCCUAACUGAGGCAACUUAGAGGAGAUGUGGCAGCUAGAAGGAGCAGAGAGAAGACUGGAUGGAGAGAGAAAUGAGCAAGGGGAGUGGAUAGACAGGAAAGAGCGCAGGGGCCAGAUGGGAAGAGAGCCUUCCCAGCUCACAACCACAGCUACCGUCCUCCUCAUGAGUAUCCUUGAUCUUUGACUUGGAAGAAGUCGAUGCAGUCCUAUGAUGCAAAUGAAGUUCCAUGGACCUAGAAGGUGUGGCCUGCUGCUGUGGCAGCUGUGUAAUGUCUGCUGGUGCCCUGAGGGUUACAUGGACAGAAAAAUGCAAGAUUGAAUCAGGAACAGGAGAAAAUGAUGUCAUCAAGACGCUGGCUCACCGUAGUACAGUCAAACCUUUUUAAAAGUAGGGGGAGCAGCACAAAAUACUGGUUAAAAGCACAACGCGUUAAAAAUGAACAUGGCUGUUUAUUAUCAUUACAAAAUAUUCUUGUCCCAUACCACAAUACCAGCACUUAGGAGGCUGGCUGAGGCAGAAGGAUCUCAUGUUUGAGUCCAGCCUGAGCUAUAUAGAAAGACUAAAGCCAAAUAAAUAAAUAUGUUGUUCUGUAA
rnacentral:lncRNA from 1 species